GUCGUCUUAGCUCAGCUGGGAGAGCGUCAGACUGAAGGGUCCUUAAGGCACUGUCAUCUGAAGGCCCCGUGUUCAAUCCACGGAGACGACA